GCCGAAGUGGCGGAACUGGUAGACGCGCUAGGUUCAGGGUCUAGUGGGGGAAGCCCCGUGCGAGUUCGAGUCUCGCCUUCGGCACCA
rnacentral:tRNA from 1 species